AUUGAACGCUGGCGGUAGGCCUAACACAUGCAAGUCGAACGCGAAAGUCCUUCGGGAUGAGUAGAGUGGCGGACGGGUGAGUAACGCGUAGGAAUCUAUCCUGUAGUGGGGGAGUAAACGUUUUCGAAAGGAACGCUGAUACCGCAUACGCCCCAAGGGGGAAAGCGGGGGGAAGUCUUCGGACCUCGUGCUAUAGGAGGAGCCUGCGUCGGAUUAGCUAGUUGGUGAGUAAAGGCUCACCAAGGCGACGAUCCGUAGCUGGUCUGAGAGGAUGAUCAGCCACACCGGAACUGAGACACGGUCCGGACUCCUACGGAGCAGCAGUGGGGAAUAUUGCGCAAU
rnacentral:rRNA from 1 species